rnacentral:lncRNA from 1 species
AUUCACAGUUGCCUUUUGAAAUAUUUGCGAUUCCAGAGCAGUAACCAUUUGUGUUUAGUCAAGUACUGAAAGGUUGAGCCACAGACUAAUUGGAUAGCAAUAGAUGAACAGAUUAAAGUACCAUAUGCAAAAACUGCUGAGAGCAGAAGAAAAGCACGAAUUCCUCAAGCAAACUAAGAUUAACAGGGUAUAUCCUAAAUCAAUUUGGAACGUACGUUUGCCAGUUAAUUCUAAAAGAACUUUAAACAACACUAGAAGGAUAUGCUUAAAGGUAGCUAUAAUAGAAAGUAAAAGAAAGGUUUUCGAGCUUAAAUCACAGCUGGCAGAAGUAUUGGGUUGUUCGAUG